rnacentral:rRNA from 1 species
AGGACGAACGCUGGCGGCGUGCCUAACACAUGCAAGUGGAGCGACGACCCGGGCUUCGGCCCGGUGCAAAGCCGCGAACGGGUGAGUAACACGUGGGUAACCUGCCCUGAUGAUUGGGACAACCCGAGGAAACUCGGGCUAAUACCGAAUGUGCCCUCUGGCCGUAAGGCCUCUGGGGAAAGGAGCUUCGGCCUCCGCAUUGGGAUGGGCCCGCGGCCCAUUAGCUUGUUGGUGAGGUAACGGCUCACCAAGGCGACGACGGGUA